rnacentral:rRNA from 1 species
UACGUAGGGGGCAAGCGUUGUCCGGAAUCAUUGGGCGUAAAGCGCGCGUAGGCGCCCGAUCAGUCCGCUGUAAAAGUCCAGGGCUCAACCCUGGAAAGCCGGUGGAUACUGCCGGGCUAGAGUCCGGAAGAGGCGAGUGGAAUUCCUGGUGUAGCGGUGGAAUGCGCAGAUAUCAGGAGGAACACCGAUAGCGAAGGCAGCUCGCUGGGACGGUACUGACGCUGAGGUGCGAAAGCGUGGGUAGCAAACAGG